rnacentral:tRNA from 1 species
GGGGAUAUAGCUCAGUGGUAGAGCAUUCGACUGCAGCUCGUGAGGUCCCUGAUUCGAACCCGGGUGUCCCCU